AAAUGGAAUAAACUCCCGCCUUCAGUGGUCCAGUGCAACACGAUUGAUUCAGUGAGUUGGUUGCUCGCUCUCGCCGAGUGUGGACGUGUUUCCCUCCACCGUUUCUCGCCCUUCCCAACCCACAAAAAUAACUCGGUGAGCAGGGAUGACUUCUGGGUCGUGUGCCACAUGCCUGUGUACCUGGAGUUGGCGUUCAUGGACUUUGCAGUCACACAAGAAUCACUGAUGAGGCAGCAGGCUCCCAUCCAUGACCAUCAAUCUUCAUAUCCAGUCCCUGGUGCAGUUUUAGAGUUCAACAAAGUGAUGGUGGUAGUGCUCAACACUCUCCAGCUGGGGAGCGAAAAGCUUGAAGGCAUUGAGGAGUGGUGAGCCAAGUUCCUGGGGUUCAUACUGGAGUCUCCUGAUCUGUCUCCUCAAUGCGUCCGAGUCUCCACGGAGGAGUGUCAUUAACUGGAAGGCAGUCAUAGUCAGACUUUCCACAUGUCACCAUUCACUGCACAAAACACAUGUCCUUUGGGGUCAGCAGAGGAGUCUUGGGCUGUGAGGUCGCCUGAAGCAUGCCCCUAAGCAUGACCCUGACUGUCGACCCACCUGGUGCCCGUCUCCUCGA